CAACUGCUAUUAUGAUGGAACUUAGGGAAAUCAAUUUCAUGACUGAUAGUCUGAAAAUGUGCAAAUGAAGUUGUUUUGCAAAUGACUUUUAAUAUGAUUGAUAUAAUGGUGCUUUUCUUUCUGCAAGAAUUGAAAUUAAAGUAUAGUUUUUGUACGAUUUUGAGGCUUCCACUAAUAAACUCAAUGUGUGCUAAUUGUUUAUUGAUACCAUUUUAUAAAUU
rnacentral:lncRNA from 1 species